rnacentral:tRNA from 1 species
CCUUCGAUAGCUCAGUUGGUAGAGCGGAGGACUGUAGUGGGCCUUCAUCAGGCAUCCUUAGGUCGCUGGUUCGAAUCCGGCUCGAAGGA